rnacentral:rRNA from 1 species
CCUACGGGAGGCAGCAGUGGGGGAUAUUGCACAAUGGGGGAAACCCUGAUGCAGCGACGCCGCGUGUAGGAAGACGGUCCUCUGGAUUGUAAACUACUGUCGCCGGGGAGGAAGAUGACGGUACCUGGGGAGGAAGCUCCGGCUAACUACGUGCCAGCAGCCGCGGUAAUACGUAGGGAGCGAGCGUUGUCCGGAAUUACUGGGUGUAAAGGGAGCGUAGGCGGGGAUGCAAGUUGGGUGUUAAAUCGACGGGCUCAACUGGUAGUCGCCUUUGAAACUGCAGCGCUUGAGUGGAGGAGAGGUAGGCGGAAUGCCUGGUGUAGCGGUGAAAUGCGUAGAUAUUAGGGAGAACACCGGUGGCGAAGGCAGCCUGCUGGGCUGUUACUGACGCUGAGGCUCGAAAGUGUGGGGAGCAAACAGGAUUAGAUACCCUUGUAGUC